GACGAACGCUGGCGGCGUGCUUAACACAUGCAAGUCGAACGGAAAGGCCCUGCUUUUGUGGGGUGCUCGAGUGGCGAACGGGUGAGUAACACGUGAGUAACCUGCCCUUGACUUUGGGAUAACUUCAGGAAACUGGGGCUCAUACCGGAUAGGAGCUCCUGCUGCAUGGUGGGGGUUGGAAAGUUUCGGCGGUUGGGGAUGGACUCGCGGCUUAUCAGCUUGUUGGUGGGGUAGUGGCUUACCAAGGCUUUGACGGGUAGCCGGCCUGAGAGGGUGACCGGCCACCUUGGGACUGAGAUACGGCCCAGACUCCUACGGGAGGCAGCAGUGGGGAAUAUUGCACAAUGGGCGGAAGCCUGAUGCAGCAACGCCGCGUGCGGGAUGACGGCCUUCGGGUUGUAAACCGCUUUCGCCUGUGACGAAGCGUGAGUGACGGUAAUGGGUAAAGAAGCACCGGCUAACUACGUG
rnacentral:rRNA from 1 species